rnacentral:rRNA from 1 species
GCGUCGACGGGUAGCCGGCCUGAGAGGGUGUCCGGCCACACUGGGACUGAGAUACGGCCCAGACUCCUACGGGAGGCAGCAGUGGGGAAUAUUGCACAAUGGGCGCAAGCCUGAUGCAGCGACGCCGCGUGGGGGAUGACGGCCUUCGGGUUGUAAACCUCUUUCAGCACAGACGAAGCGCAAGUGACGGUAUGUGCAGAAGAAGCACCGGCCAACUACGUGCCAGCAGCCGCGGUAAUACGUAGGGUGCGAGCGUUGUCCGGAAUUACUGGGCGUAAAGAGCUUGUAGGUGGUUUGUCGCGUUGUUCGUGAAAUCUCACGGCUUAACUGUGAGCGUGCGGGCGAUACGGGCAGACUAGAGUACUGCAGGGGAGACUGGAAUUCCUGGUGUAGCGGUGGAAUGCGCAGAUAUCAGGAGGAACACCGGUGGCGAAGGCGGGUCUCUGGGCAGUAACUGACGCUGAGAAGCGAAAGCGUGGGGAGCGAACAGGAUUAGAUACCCUGGUAGUCCACGCCGUAACGGUGGGUACUAGGUGUGGGUUUCCUUCCUUGGGAUCCGUGCCGUAGCUAACGCAUUAAGUACCCCGCC